rnacentral:rRNA from 1 species
AAAUUGAAGAGUUUGAUCAUGGCUCAGAUUGAACGCUGGCGGCAGGCCUAACACAUGCAAGUCGAGCGGCAGCGGAAAGUAGCUUGCUACUUUGCCGGCGAGCGGCGGACGGGUGAGUAAUGUCUGGGAAACUGCCUGAUGGAGGGGGAUAACUACUGGAAACGGUAGCUAAUACCGCAUAACGUCGCAAGACCAAAGAGGGGGACCUUCGGGCCUCUUGCCAUCAGAUGUGCCCAGAUGGGAUUAGCUAGUAGGUGGGGUAACGGCUCACCUAGGCGACGAUCCCUAGCUGGUCUGAGAGGAUGACCAGCCACACUGGAACUGAGACACGGUCCAGACUCCUACGGGAGGCAGCAGUGGGGAAUAUUGCACAAUGGGCGCAAGCCUGAUGCAGCCAUGCCGCGUGUAUGAAGAAGGCCUUCGGGUUGUAAAGUACUUUCAGCGGGGAGGAAGGCGUUGAGGUUAAUAACCUCAGCGAUUGACGUUACCCGCAGAAGAAGCACCGGCUAACUCCGUGCCAGCAGCCGCGGUAAUACGGAGGGUGCAAGCGUUAAUCGGAAUUACUGGGCGUAAAGCGCACGCAGGCGGUCUGUCAAGUC